UGUCUCCAUUUCUAAAUUAGCAAAAUGAAAAUAAUAUUAACUACUCACUAGAUCAAUUGAAAUAAUAAAGGUGUAUGUGUCUGGCACAUGGUAGAUAUUCAUUCAUCCAUUUUUUCAUCUUUAGUUUAUUUGGAAUCCAUCAAAAGUUUACAAACCCUGGGAGUUAGGAGAAGGCCACUUUAUUUGGCCAACAGUCCUCUUUCAUCUUAAAUGGAGCAGUAGUUUUAUAAAAUGUUUAUUUCCUUAUCUAAACUGUUCUUUUUCCCCCGGGCCCUUAUGUGCCUUUCUGGGAGCAAAGAAACUCCAGGAAUCCCAGCAAAUCACUCUGCAGAGUGGCCAACAGGUGUGACAUCAGAAGUCCUAAUAGUGGGGCUUUGGUGAGUUUGCCUUUUUGAGGUGCCCAUGGGAGAAUGGAUGCUAUCUACCUCUACAGGAAGGAAGCAGCCACUUGGUGUUUCUGGCUUUCAGGCUGUAUCCACCCCAGGUUUCAGCUGUCAUUUUGGGCCAAGUUAAAGGCAGAGGGCAGAUUUUGCACAAGGCCCUCUGAAGUGGGGAAUAAUUUGGGUCAAGUGUUCCAGCUAGGGUGAGCAGCAAGUUGCACAGUCAGCCAGCAGAAAAAGGCUGUGUGUGGAGAGGCCUGGUCCAGGCACUAAUGAUUCAGGUAGAUUGCCAGGAAGGGCAGAGGCAACCAGGCUGGCUGUGCCUGUUCCACAGUCUCUGGGCAGUUUCUCGGCCUUCAGCUUCACUGUGGGGGAACCUAGCCUCGGAGUGUUACUGGAUACCCACCUCCCCACUGAUGCCUGAUCAAAUUUAAAUCAAACCUGCAGUUCUGGGCCCUGAAAGUUCAUUUUUCCUACCCAGUGCUGAGUGAAGUUGACUUUAGGCCAGACCAAACAAUAUUCAGGAGGAGCCCUACCCAUUCAAGAUACUUUGCAACUGACAAACAUUUUUAAGGUGAUGGACAUUUAAGACAAACCAUGAUAGGUCUGGAGAUAAGAUUUGAAAAUUUGGCUGACAGUUAGCAGCCAAGGAGGGCAUCUGCAGGUGGAGUUUGCAACUAGGAACUCUAUAGACUCUAGCUAAUUAUUGUACAGAUAUAGAAAAGCCUCUUUUUUGGGAAAAGGGUGAUGACAAAUCCAAGGUAUAGUGGAUAAAACAGGCACAAUUUCAAGUCCAGCUGAAUAAACCUGGGCAAGCAGACACACACAUGCAUGUGUGCAUGCUGUCAGUGCUACCACAUACACUUCCAUCCCUCAUACAGAGAGUUCACCUAGCACCUAGACACACCCCCUACAUCCACCACACUCUCCCCACAGACACCCUGUCCUCCCCACCGUACAGACCAACCACACACAGCACAGACCCCUCCCUCUUCUCCCAUGCACACAUCAUACACACAGCCAUCAGAUAAACACAGUCCCCUUAGGAAGCCGAUUAAUAAAACUAUUUUAUCUAUAAUUACACUUGACUGAUAAUAAUGUCCUCAGAGCCUGCAUGGUUAGAUUGGCUCAGAUUGUAACAUCCAGAUUACAGCUGAACUCCCUUUGAACUCUGGCCACAUUGCUGGUCUCUCCAGCUCAGAGAUUACAGAUGGCUUUAGGUGGAUUCACCCCACGGAACCAAGAAGGUAAGUAGAAUUCCAGCUCUCCUUGCUUUUCUUUUCUCUCCAAGCCUGUACAGAUGAUGCGAUCUCUGAAAAUACAUGGCCAAAUACAAGAGGAAGGCCGAAAUCAAAUAACCUCCUCCAACCCACCCUUGUGUAUCCUGGUGGGUCACCUUGCAAACCAGCGUCAACCUCAGAUUCCACAGAGGAGGUUGCCUGGAAUGCUCUCUUGAAGACUGACAUUUGAAAAUAAUCAGUUUAAUUUCUGGGUCUUGGGAUCUUGGGGACGGACUCCAGUGAGCCAUAAUUAACUCUUUAAAGUCUUCACCGUGUGCUGCAAAUAGUAAAAUAUCUUAUUCUUUAUGAUGUAAUGCUGAAUGGAGGCAGCAAGGAGGCUUUUCAGGCUAAUUACAUGUUGGAACGAGGUUAAUGACAUGCCGGAGAUUCUUUGCGUGGCUACCCUGACAUUGACAAGUCAGUCGGUAACAUGCUAGGGCUAAAGACAGCGACUACUUUUAAAGAAGGCAUGCGUCUGGAAACAGCUAGACAGGCCCCUAAUCUGGCCCCUCUCCUGUCCGCCACCCCCCCGGCCCCGACCCCACUUCCCAUUUUUCGGGAAUUAAGAAAUCUUGAUUUUAAACUGGCGUUCAAUACCAAGGGCCUGGAGAUUUGGAUCGGCAUCCUCAUGAGUCUCAGCUCUAUCUUAUGCUUUUUACAGCAGCUGAAUUUAGCCAAGGAUGCAAACAAAAGUCCACUAUCUAAGCGGAUGUUUUUGGGCUGAGCAGAAGGCACGUCUGUACAGACAAGCAAGCUGCAAUUACCCUACAAAAACUGUCUUUCCUGCUGGACUGGAGCUUCACAAGACCAGGGACCAUGUCAUCCUGUUUAUCAUUCUAUCCUAGCACCUGGGACUGUGCCUUGUCCAGGAAUAAACCUGCAAGGAAGGUGUUGCAGAUUUUUAUCCCUAUGUUGGAAAUGAGGAUUCGGAAGCUCAGAGAACGUAAGCAACAUGCCCAGUGUCACGGAGCAAGGUCAAAACCAGACUUUGGACCAAGAUCUAUCUGGCCUUGGAAGCAUCUCCCCUUUGGCCUGGUCUUUGCUCUGUAUGUCUUGUUGACCCCAAAGAAUAAAGUCACCUACAUGUUUCAGUUGACUUUUUAAUUUCCUUAUGAAUGUCAUCCCCACUCCCAAGUUCCCACGAUAAUCAGAAAGGGCGGUUUCCUAGGCUAUUUCCUUGGUAGUCAGAUUGGGAGGAGAAUGGCACUAAUACUAAUACUAAUAACCAUAAUUAUGAGUAACAUUGAUUGAACACUAUGUUCCAAGUGCUCAAUAUGUUCUGG
rnacentral:lncRNA from 1 species